GCAGUGGUGGUUUAGUGGUAGAAUGCUCCCCUUCCAUGUGGGAGACCUGGGUUCAAUUCCUGACCAAUGCA
rnacentral:tRNA from 1 species